rnacentral:rRNA from 1 species
GAUGAACGCUGGCGGCGUGCCUAAUACAUGCAAGUCGAGCGAACAGACGAGGAGCUUGCUCCUCUGACGUUAGCGGCGGACGGGUGAGUAACACGUGGAUAACCUACCUAUAAGACUGGGAUAACUUCGGGAAACCGGAGCUAAUACCGGAUAAUAUAUUGAACCGCAUGGUUCAAUAGUGAAAGACGGUUUUGCUGUCACUUAUAGAUGGAUCCGCGCCGCAUUAGCUAGUUGGUAAGGUAACGGCUUACCAAGGCAACGAUGCGUAGCCGACCUGAGAGGGUGAUCGGCCACACUGGAACUGAGACACGGUCCAGACUCCUACGGGAGGCAGCAGUAUGGAAUCUUCCGCAAUGGGCGAAAGCCUGACGGAGCAACGCCGCGUGAGUGAUGAAGGUCUUCGGAUCGUAAAACUCUGUUAUUAGGGAAGAACAAAUGUGUAAGUAACUAUGCACGUCUUGACGGUACCUAAUCAGAAAGCCCCGGCUAACUACGUG